ensembl:snoRNA SNORA63 Small nucleolar RNA SNORA63
AUGCAGGUACUGCUACAGUAUGACUAAAGUGAUUUGUUGUCAUUUCCCCUGCUUAAAGCACUUGAUACAUAACUAUCUCUGUCUAACUCCAUUCCACAGUAAGAGAUGCUUGGUUUCAUUUUU